GGGUUGUGAGGUUAAGCGACUAAGCGUACACGGUGGAUGCCCUGGCAGUCAGAGGCGAUGAAGGACGUGCUAAUCUGCGAUAAGCGUCGGUAAGGUGAUAUGAACCGUUAUAACCGGCGAUUUCCGAAUGGGGAAACCCAGUGUGUUUCGACACACUAUCAUUAACUGAAUCCAUAGGUUAAUGAGGCGAACCGGGGGAACUGAAACAUCUAAGUACCCCGAGGAAAAGAAAUCAACCGAGAUUCCCCCAGUAGCGGCGAGCGAACGGGGAGGAGCCCAGAGCCUGAAUCAGUGUGUGUGUUAGUGGAAGCGUCUGGAAAGGCGCGCGAUACAGGGUGACAGCCCCGUACACAAAAAUGCACAUGCUGUGAGCUCGAUGAGUAGGGCGGGACACGUGGUAUCCUGUCUGAAUAUGGGGGGACCAUCCUCCAAGGCUAAAUACUCCUGACUGACCGAUAGUGAACCAGUACCGUGAGGGAAAGGCGAAAAGAACCCCGGCGAGGGGAGUGAAAAAGAACCUGAAACCGUGUACGUACAAGCAGUGGGAGCACGCUUCGGCGUGUGACUGCGUACCUUUUGUAUAAUGGGUCAGCGACUUAUAUUCUGUAGCAAGGUUAACCGAAUAGGGGAGCCGAAGGGAAACCGAGUCUUAACUGGGCGUUAAGUUGCAGGGUAUAGACCCGAAACCCGGUGAUCUAGCCAUGGGCAGGUUGAAGGUUGGGUAACACUAACUGGAGGACCGAACCGACUAAUGUUGAAAAAUUAGCGGAUGACUUGUGGCUGGGGGUGAAAGGCCAAUCAAACCGGGAGAUAGCUGGUUCUCCCCGAAAGCUAUUUAGGUAGCGCCUCGUGAAUUCAUCUCCGGGGGUAGAGCACUGUUUCGGCAAGGGGGUCAUCCCGACUUACCAACCCGAUGCAAACUGCGAAUACCGGAGAAUGUUAUCACGGGAGACACACGGCGGGUGCUAACGUCCGUCGUGAAGAGGGAAACAACCCAGACCGCCAGCUAAGGUCCCAAAGUCAUGGUUAAGUGGGAAACGAUGUGGGAAGGCCCAGACAGCCAGGAUGUUGGCUUAGAAGCAGCCAUCAUUUAAAGAAAGCGUAAUAGCUCACUGGUCGAGUCGGCCUGCGCGGAAGAUGUAACGGGGCUAAACCAUGCACCGAAGCUGCGGCAGCGACGCUUAUGCGUUGUUGGGUAGGGGAGCGUUCUGUAAGCCUGCGAAGGUGUGCUGUGAGGCAUGCUGGAGGUAUCAGAAGUGCGAAUGCUGACAUAAGUAACGAUAAAGCGGGUGAAAAGCCCGCUCGCCGGAAGACCAAGGGUUCCUGUCCAACGUUAAUCGGGGCAGGGUGAGUCGACCCCUAAGGCGAGGCCGAAAGGCGUAGUCGAUGGGAAACAGGUUAAUAUUCCUGUACUUGGUGUUACUGCGAAGGGGGGACGGAGAAGGCUAUGUUGGCCGGGCGACGGUUGUCCCGGUUUAAGCGUGUAGGCUGGUUUUCCAGGCAAAUCCGGAAAAUCAAGGCUGAGGCGUGAUGACGAGGCACUACGGUGCUGAAGCAACAAAUGCCCUGCUUCCAGGAAAAGCCUCUAAGCAUCAGGUAACAUCAAAUCGUACCCCAAACCGACACAGGUGGUCAGGUAGAGAAUACCAAGGCGCUUGAGAGAACUCGGGUGAAGGAACUAGGCAAAAUGGUGCCGUAACUUCGGGAGAAGGCACGCUGAUAUGUAGGUGAAGUCCCUUGCGGAUGGAGCUGAAAUCAGUCGAAGAUACCAGCUGGCUGCAACUGUUUAUUAAAAACACAGCACUGUGCAAACACGAAAGUGGACGUAUACGGUGUGACGCCUGCCCGGUGCCGGAAGGUUAAUUGAUGGGGUUAGCGGUAACGCGAAGCUCUUGAUCGAAGCCCCGGUAAACGGCGGCCGUAACUAUAACGGUCCUAAGGUAGCGAAAUUCCUUGUCGGGUAAGUUCCGACCUGCACGAAUGGCGUAAUGAUGGCCAGGCUGUCUCCACCCGAGACUCAGUGAAAUUGAACUCGCUGUGAAGAUGCAGUGUACCCGCGGCAAGACGGAAAGACCCCGUGAACCUUUACUAUAGCUUGACACUGAACAUUGAGCCUUGAUGUGUAGGAUAGGUGGGAGGCUUUGAAGUGUGGACGCCAGUCUGCAUGGAGCCGACCUUGAAAUACCACCCUUUAAUGUUUGAUGUUCUAACGUUGACCCGUAAUCCGGGUUGCGGACAGUGUCUGGUGGGUAGUUUGACUGGGGCGGUCUCCUCCUAAAGAGUAACGGAGGAGCACGAAGGUUGGCUAAUCCUGGUCGGACAUCAGGAGGUUAGUGCAAUGGCAUAAGCCAGCUUGACUGCGAGCGUGACGGCGCGAGCAGGUGCGAAAGCAGGUCAUAGUGAUCCGGUGGUUCUGAAUGGAAGGGCCAUCGCUCAACGGAUAAAAGGUACUCCGGGGAUAACAGGCUGAUACCGCCCAAGAGUUCAUAUCGACGGCGGUGUUUGGCACCUCGAUGUCGGCUCAUCACAUCCUGGGGCUGAAGUAGGUCCCAAGGGUAUGGCUGUUCGCCAUUUAAAGUGGUACGCGAGCUGGGUUUAGAACGUCGUGAGACAGUUCGGUCCCUAUCUGCCGUGGGCGCUGGAGAACUGAGGGGGGCUGCUCCUAGUACGAGAGGACCGGAGUGGACGCAUCACUGGUGUUCGGGUUGUCAUGCCAAUGGCACUGCCCGGUAGCUAAAUGCGGAAGAGAUAAGUGCUGAAAGCAUCUAAGCACGAAACUUGCCCCGAGAUGAGUUCUCCCUGACUCCUUGAGAGUCCUGAAGGAACGUUGAAGACGACGACGUUGAUAGGCCGGGUGUGUAAGCGCAGCGAUGCGUUGAGCUAACCGGUACUAAUGAACCGUGAGGCUUAACCUUACAACGCCGAAG
rnacentral:rRNA from 1 species